UACAGAGGUGGCAAGCGUUGUUCGGAAUUACUGGGCGUAAAGGGCGCGUAGGCGGCCUACUAAGUCAGACGUGAAAUCCCCCGGCUUAACCUGGGAACUGCGUCUGAUACUGGAAGGCUUGAGGAUGGGAGAGGGAUGUAGAAUUCCAGGUGUAGCGGUGAAAUGCGUAGAUAUCUGGAGGAAUACCGGUGGCGAAGGCGGCAUCCUGGACCAUUACUGGCGCUGAGGCGCGAAAGCUAGGGGAGCAAACGGG
rnacentral:rRNA from 1 species